rnacentral:rRNA from 1 species
GACGAACGCUGGCGGCGUGCUUAACACAUGCAAGUCGAACGGAAAGGCCCUGCUCUUGCGGGGUUCUCGAGUGGCGAACGGGUGUGUAACACGUGAGUAACCUGCCCUUGACUUUGGGAUAACUUCAGGAAACUGGGGCUAAUACCCGAUAGGAGCUCCUGCUGCAUGGUGGGGGUUGGAAAGUUUCGGCGGUUGGGGAUGGACUCGCGGCUUAUCCGCUUGUUGGUGGGGUAGUGGCUUACCAAGGCUUUGACGGGUAGCCGGCCUGAGAGGGUGACCGGCCACAUUGGGACUGAGAUACGGCGCAGUCUCCUACGGGAGGCAGAAGUGGGGAAUAUUGCACAAUGGGCGGAAGCCUGAUGCAGCAACGCCGCGUGCGGGAUGCCGGCCUUCGGGGGGUAAACCGCUUUCGCCUGUGACGAAGCGUGAGUGACGGUAAUGGGUAAAGAAGCACCGGCUAACUACGUG